UUAUAAUUAAAUUUAACUUCAGUUACAAUUAUAUAUAAAAAGAUAUAAUGCAUUAAAAUGUGCAUUAUACUUAAGACUUUAAGUGAAGUGUUACAGAAUAUGCAAUUUGCCACUCCAGUCAGGACUAGGUUACGAAAUCACAUAACAUUUAUUUACGCCUCUUUAAACAAUACAGACUGUGUCAAAUCAGCUUAAGUAAUAAAUAGGAAAAUACAGUGUCAGGGUCACAUAGUUCUAUGAUCAGAGUUUCAAUUAUGAUUACAAUGCUAAUUUCAACCAUAAAACAGCUCCUCAGUGUGUUCUAGGGAUUCGCGGUAUACCGGUACUGGAAAAUUACCAGUAUAUAUCAUGUUUCAAACGGUACGAUAUCAUAAUUUUGCUCAAUUCGGUAUUUCAUACGCUGCUGUUGCGAAGUGCACCUGUAGGUGGCAGUGCUUCCCAAAUUGCUCCGGAACCGGUAAAUGAGACAACAGAACAAUGCGAUCAAACAGAUGAAACUCUAUCAACGCACCCGAAAUUAAUAAAUAAAGAAAACAGUAGAAGUGAAAUAUGGCAUUACUUUGCAUUUAAAACAGAUGACAAAGGUGAACGAACUGACCUUACUGCACCUGUAUGCAAGCGUUGCAAUAAAUCAUGCGUUGCCACAGGAGGCAACAUGUCACAUUUUUUAAGCAUUUGUCGCUUGCUCAUCUAUGGAAUUAUUUUUGUGUCUUUAUUAUGCAAACAAAAAUUCUGUGUUUGAGAGCAAAAGUAAUUAUUUUGUAAUUUAAAAAAAAAAAGGAUUGCAAAAAAACUCUGAAAUUGAUAACAAAAUUCUUUGCAGUGUGUGCAAAUCUUUAAAAAAAAAAAUUUCUUUGUGCACUUCAAAAACUUUUCAUCACGAAACCACAAAUAUUGCUCUCUUUUCUGCCGUGUUUUUUUGCGGGUCUAAAACUUUUGUUUGCGAGUGAAGCUGUGUCUCAGUGGGCGGUCUCUACGCACCAGGAUGAAAGGCCUAUUUCUAUUGGCCAUUCUCGAUUGAAGUGACAGGUUGACCACGCCCACUACGCUUUCCCGCCAGUCUGACAGAAGAGCGAGCUUCUAGCAGCAAUGGCCAGCAACCGCUCGUUUACUGGAUCUUUUCCUGGAUUUUUUAAAAAUACUGGAAAAAAUAAAAGACAUCUUGCCAGAAGUCACAGGCCAAUUGUACCAGCAAAAGCACAGAAAACCUUUGAUGUUUCUGUGUCUUUGCUGGGCUCUAAAUCCGAUACGACCCCUUCUAUAUCUGAAGAGUUGGAGCUCAUGCAAGUAGGGCUAGGAAAGAGGACCCUGUCCUUAACAUGGGAUACUACGCAUGCAGAGUUAUCAAGUUUACUGCAGGAAGCAUACUCAAAGAUGAGUGAUUUGGAAGACAGGUGGCUUCUUUUCAAAGCUGCAGGUGGGAACGGAAGGAGAAGAAUAUCUGUAAUACCUUUGGAGGCAGAGGGGUAUAAAGGAUCAGUGAUCAAAAGUGCUUCUGGUGGUGGGAAGAACUUUCUGUACAUCGUGCCAUUGCAAGAUGAGCUUGACAUGACACCGCUGCCACCAGAUGCUCCUGAAUUUGCCAGAAUGCCAAAGGCCACAUGUAAAAAAUGCAAGACUCUGACGCCACUCCAGACACUGGCUUUGCAUUCUGACCAGUGUUACAGCGUGCAAAACUCAGAAAACUCUGAAAUUGAGAGGCAACAUCUUCAAGGCCAAGCUGUAGUCUUGAAGGAACAUCAUCCAUUGUUGAACAUCAGGAGGUACACAAGCAAAAGCUAAAUUGAAGAUUGGCAGUUAUCAAUUCUUCUUUACAAAAUUUGCCUGGCAUACAUUUUUGUCUUUAAUGUGUAGGCACUUGAAGCCCAGUGCCCAAUAUGUACCAAAACAUUUCCGGUGUCAGAAUUAGAACUGCAUGCCAGCUUUUGUGGAGAAAGGUAAUGGUAAUAGUGACUCGGAUUAAAGCUUAAAAACCUAAAAGGGUUGUUCUCUGAAGCCAUAUGAGAUCACUGUAUGAUGAACAGGCCAAAAUGAUUUAUUCACUCUCAAAUUAAACUGCAUCCAGAGACUAAGUUAAAUGUGGCAUUGUCGAAACAUAAUCUUCAUAAGAAAAUCAUAAAAGUUCUUGUGUGUUUCUCUGGGUGUAAUAUUUCUUUAAUCUUUGUUUACACUAUUGCUGAUGUGAUCCGUAAACGGAUAUUUUUAAAAACCAAACUAUAUGCAUUAACUAAUAUUAUUAUUUUUUUUUUAUAGUCUAGAUGGAGUUCCAGAAAAACAACCGUGUUCUGAUUUGGAUCAUAUCUCAUGUGAGGAGGAUGUGAUUUGUCAUGCAGCAGCACAGAUAAGACACUACAAAAAUAUUUGAAGUUUGCGUAUCACGAGAUAACAUUCUAGAGAGAGGCCUGAAUCUGUGGAAACGGCAAAAAACAGGAAGCCCGGGUCAAUCCUUUGAAAAUCACCUUAAUUGGAGAGCCAGGAGUUGACACAGGGGCACUGAGGAAAGAAUUUCUGUCCAAUUGAAGAUGCAUCUGACCUGUCCAACUACACAAACGAAAUCCUGGACUGUGGCUACACUGGACCAGUCAAUGUUGACCACAAGGAAAGCAUAUUAAGAGCUCUUGCUCUACAUAUUACAACAAAACGCAUCCCAAUGCUGCAACAACUGCGCGAGGGCCUUGAGAUAUAUGAUCUUAUUAAAGUCAUGCAGAGAAAGCCACAUGAGUGUCACGAUCUCUUCGUCAUAGGAUAUGAUGACAAAGUUGAUGCCCAUUUCAUUUUAUCCCACCUGGCCCCAGAGAUGAGCCCAAGUGGUUCGAUUAAACAAGUGAAAGAGUCAAAAAUCAUGGAAUUCUUUCAAGAUUUCCUACUUGAGCUUGAAGGUAUGGACUUAAAGUAGUAUAAUCUGUUAUUUUAUAUCCAGGUGUAAAUAUGCUACUGUAGUUCCUAUUUUAAAAGGGUAUACCAGGGGUGCAAACUCGUCAGGGGUGAAAAAGGUGACAAACCAAACUUUUGUUUUGUUUGCUUGUUUUAAGGAAAAACUCAAUUUUGACUUUUUUUUUUUCUGAAAACAAGACAAUUUUUACAUGUCUAGAAAAAUGCUUAUUGAUUUAAGAAUUCUUAGAUAUUUGGACUAACAGUUCUCAAAUCGACUUCAUGUCAGAGUAAUAGCUGAUAUGCGAGACAAAUGAGACUGAGGAGCAUUUUGCAAAGGGUAGCGAACUAAUGCAGCGAUAACGUAACUUACAAUCUUCAUAGCAGCCUCAUGCAAAAAAACAAAACAAACAAAAAAAACCCAGCAGCCUCACGCGGUAAUCACCAUUUAUACUGGAACACCAUAAUUUACAGCAGAUACAAAUGCAUUCCGUCCUGCUCGACAGUGAACUUAAUUUAGCUAGCUACAAACAGGCUAAUCUAACCACCAACAUAGCCCAAUUACUUCAAAAAUAAGUUGCUUGCAGUUAGCUUGUUCCUUCACAUUUUACGUAGCCUCUGGAAAUAUGGACAUUUGCCUGCAGCGUCUAAAAGUUAGGCUUCAGGAGUGAGAUUGGUUGGUUGAGGGAAAGAACAUCAAGGUAAGCCAAUCAGAGGCAGAGUAGGGCGGGUCCAUUCCUUUGCCAACAGGGGGAAAAACGCUACAGGUGACGUGGCGCAGAUGACGCGCAGAUACGAUACAUUUGUGCGGGAAUGUCUCGCAUUAUAAAAAGUUAAACUUGCGAGAAUGGCCAUAGACAUUCCCGCACAAAUGUAUCUCCUUCAUCUCAAAUUGCACUGUAUAUCCCACUACCAUGCUCUGUUUAACCAAGAAAUUUGUUUUGAAAAGCUUUUAUAAAAAUUUACAUUUCAUAAAAUUGGGGAAAAAAAAAAAAAAAAUCACACUUGUGGUGUUCCCAGUCAAAAAUGACCGCCCCACAAAAAAUAGCUUAUAAAUCUCUUAUGCUAUAAUAUCACCUAAUAUUGGAUUCAUUCUUUUCUAGUUGGUCAUUUAUCCACAUGUAAUGUAAACAAAUAAAUGACUUUGAUUUCAGAUAAAGCAUCAAAAAAGUGGUCAGUGAGGUUCAGCAUCCAGAACGUAUACAUUUAUUUUGUGUUAAGUAUUCUACAAAUACAUUUCCAUUUUUAUGUGCUUAAUAAAAAUACCUAAAGUAUGCUAAAUUGGAACAACUAAUUUUGUUUAUUUUUGGAAUAAGCUUUCCAUUGAUGUAUGGUUUGUUAGGAUCGGACAAUAUUUGGCUAAGAGACGACUGUUUGAAAAUCUGGAAUCUGAGGGUGCCUUUAAAGUUGUCCAAAUGAAGUUCUU